rnacentral:rRNA from 1 species
GGAAGGUUUACCGUACGAGGAUGGAUUCGUGCUCGAAAGAGAACCUGCACACAGGUGCUGCAUGGCUGUCGUCAGCUCGUGUCGUGAGAUGUUGGGUUAAGUCCCGCAACGAGCGCAACCCUUGCCAUCAGUUGCUACGAAAGGGCACUCUGAUGGGACUGCCGGUGACAAACCGGAGGAAGGUGGGGAUGACGUCAAGUCCUCAUGGCCCUUAUAGGUGGGGCUACACACGUCAUACAAUGGCCGGUACAAAGGGCAGCAAACCCGCGAGGGGGAGCCAAUCCAUCAAAGCCGGUCGUAGUCCGGAUCGCAGUCUGCAACUCGACUGCGUGAAGUCGGAAUCGCUAGUAAUCGUGGAUCAGCAUGUCACGGUGAAUACGUUCCCGGGUCUU